rnacentral:rRNA from 1 species
UACGUAGGUUCCGAGCGUUAUCCGGAUUUACUGGGCGUAAAGCGCGUUCAGGCGGUUUGGCAAGUCGGGCAUGAAAUCCUUCGGCUCAACCGGGGGAGGUUGUCCGAUACUGCUGAACUGGAGGGCAGUAGAGGGUGGUGGAAUUCCGGGUGUAGUGGUGAAAUGCGUAGAGAUCCGGAGGAACACCAGUGGCGAAAGCGGCCACCUGGACUGCACCUGACGCUGAAACGCGAAAGCUAGGGGAGCGAACGGG